AAUUUUUGUCAUUUAACAGAUUCGGUGGCAGCAAAAGGAUCCAAAGGGAACUUCCGGCAGCAUCUGGGGCGAUGAGAACAUAGGCGUGGUCCCUGUGAACCUUCUGAGCUCACUGUCUUUCUCACCAUCUCGAGGGUCGUGGAUGGGUUGAGAUUUCCCCUGCUGUAAGACUGAUGCCUUCACAGGAAAAACCAACCAAAACAAACCAACUUAAAAAUGUGUUCCCCACUUGGGGUAUACUUUCCACUCUCUCCAGUGAUCAAGGCAUCCAUUUCACUGGACAAAUCACACGCGCCUCGACGAAAACCUUACGAACUUCUUGGAAUUCUAUCAGGACACAACCUUCUGGUCCCUUGUUGUCUCCUGCUCGUAUGACCAGCUACUGUAAGUCUCCACUGUCUUAUGCUCAAGCCUGUCACCCAUCGAUUCAAGAAGCUUUCCUGGAUCCCAAUUCAAAGAAACCUGUUCAUCACAGCCUAGAGUUUGGUGACUAUAUGAGCGUUGCCAGAGGAAAACCACUCUCCAGCCGCACUGGAAAAGGACCUUCCCAGGCGCUCCUGACCAUGGACACUGCUGCAGAACUAUGAAGUAUUAAGCCCUGGGUACACAUCACAGAGAUAAGGCUCCACCCGCCACCCGGUCCUGUACAGAUGCUGGAGACCUCCACGUCAAAGUGAUGAGCAAGACGAGUAGAAGACAUCGAGGUAGUCUGCUUCCACCCCAGAUGACGGAUGGAGACUCCAUACACUAAACCCACUCAUCACCAAGCAAAUGAUCUAAGACUGGAACAUGAACCUGAAGCUGUGACCUACCAGUAUCACAGAUGAAGGAAAAGCAUCGUGACCUAUGGGUACCACACAAAGGAUCAACACAAGCUGUGAGAACUACAAAAGGGUAAUUGAGAGUUGGUGCUCAUGCCUUAAAUUUUGAUCACAUCUCUCAGUUAAGCUGACAAUCUGAUCAAAAGGGGGAACUGUUAAAAAGAAAACCACAGGCCCCAAAAUGGGAUCACUCAGGAUGGGUUCCCAAAGCGGGGCUUAAUAUAUAAUUUAAUUGCAGUUUCAGCCUCCCCCAGAAAUGCAGUCUA